UACGUAGGGGGCGAGCGUUGUUCGGAAUUACUGGGCGUAAAGGGCGCGUAGGCGGCCUGCUAAGUCGGACGUGAAAUCCCUCGGCUCAACCGGGGAACUGCGUCCGAUACUGGCGAGCUUGAAUCCGGGAGAGGGAUGUGGAAUUCCAGGUGUAGCGGUGAAAUGCGUAGAUAUCUGGAGGAACACCGGUGGCGAAGGCGGCAUCCUGGACCGGUAUUGACGCUGAGGCGCGAAAGCCAGGGGAGCAAACGGG
rnacentral:rRNA from 1 species